rfam:Myotis lucifugus cont2.30480, whole genome shotgun sequence.
GCCAGAAGGACCACUUUCGGUGGUCUCCUCCCAGGGAAGGGGUCACAGAGCCGCGGGACUUGGUUAUGCGCGGCUGCGCCGGCGGCGCGGGCUAAUGACUGCCGGCUGCGGUUGUGGUUUUCAC